AGAGUUUGAUCCUGGCUCAGAUUGAACGCUGGCGGCAUGCCUUACACAUGCAAGUCGAACGGUAACGCGGGGGCAACCCUGGCGACGAGUGGCGAACGGGUGAGUAAUACAUCGGAACAUAUCCAGUAGCGGGGGAUAACCUAUCGAAAGAUGGACUAAUACCGCAUACGAUCUACGGAUGAAAGCAGGGGACCGCAAGGCCUUGCACUAUUGGAGUGGCCGAUGUCGGAUUAGCUAGUUGGCGGGGUAAAAGCCUACCAAGGCGACGAUCCGUAGCUGGUCUGAGAAGACGAUCAGCCACACUGGAACUGAGACACGGUCCAGACUCCUACGGGAGGCAGCAGUGGGGAAUUUUGGACAAUGGGCGCAAGCCUGAUCCAGCCAUGCCGCGUGAGUGAAGAAGGCCUUCGGGUUGUAAAGCUCUUUCGGUGAAGACGAAACGGUUCAUGCUAAUAACGUGAACUAAUGACGGUACUCACAGAAGAAGCACCGGCUAACUACGUGCCAGCAGCCGCGGUAAUACGUAGGGUGCAGGCGUUAAUCGGAAUUACUGGGCGUAAAGCGUGCGCAGGCGGUUUGCUAAGACAGGUGUGAAAUCCCCGGGCUUAACCUGGGAAUUGCGCUUGUAACUGGCAAGCUAGAGUGUGGCAGAGGGGGGUGGAAUUCCACGUGUAGCAGUGAAAUGCGUAGAUAUGUGGAGGAACACCGAUGGCGAAGGCAGCCCCCUGGGUUAACACUGACGCUCAUGCACGAAAGCGUGGGGAGCAAACAGGAUUAGAUACCCUGGUAGUCCACGCCCUAAACUAUGUCAACUAGUUGUCGGGGAAGAAAUUCCUUGGUAACGAAGCUAACGCGUGAAGUUGACCGCCUGGGGAGUACGGCCGCAAGGUUAAAACUCAAAGGAAUUGACGGGGACCCGCACAAGCGGUGGAUUAUGUGGAUUAAUUCGAUGCAACGCGAAAAACCUUACCUACCCUUGACAUGCUAGGAAGCCCGCAGAGAUGUGGGUGUGCCCGAAAGGGAACCUAGACACAGGUGCUGCAUGGCUGUCGUCAGCUCGUGUCGUGAGAUGUUGGGUUAAGUCCUGCAACGAGCGCAACCCUUGCCAUUAGUUGCUACAUUCAGUUGGGCACUCUAAUGGGACCGCCGGUGACAAACCGGAGGAAGGUGGGGAUGACGUCAAGUCCUCAUGGCCCUUAUGGGUAGGGCUUCACACGUAAUACAAUGGUCGGUACAGAGGGCUGCCAACCCGCAAGGGGGAGCUAAUCCAGAAAGCCGAUCGUAGUCCGGAUUGUAGUCUGCAACUCGACUGCAUGAAGCCGGAAUCGCUAGUAAUCGCGGAUCAGCAUGUCGCGGUGAAUACGUUCCCGGGUCUUGUACACACCGCCCGUCACACCAUGGGAGUGGGUUCCACCAGAAGUAGUUAGCCUAACCGCAAGGAGGGCGAUUACCACGGUGAGAUUUAUGACUGGGGUGAAGUCGUAACAAGGUA
rnacentral:rRNA from 1 species